AAACUUAAGUUUUCAACAGGCAACUUGGACUUCCGCUUCGGGCGAGGGGCGGGGGGGGGGCACGCGAGCCCGAGUUUGCGCAGGGAGUCCGCCAGCGCGCGCUGUGCCUGAGUCUCUCUCGAGUCUAUGGGCGGGGGAGUUUUCCAAGCGCCGGAAACUUGCCCGAAAGUUCCGAGAAGCAGCCCCCCCCCCUCACCCGCACAGCGACCCGCCCGUUUGCCAGCAGCAGCAGCGGCUCUUUUACGAGUUCGACGUCGCGCGGAGUUGAGUGAGGGAGAGGGCCAUGUCCGGCGCCUCCAACGUCGCCGCUAUGAAGAAAGUGGUGCAACAGCUGCGGCUCGAGGCUAGCGUGAGCCGCGUGAAGGUUUCGCAAGCUGCAGCUGAUCUGAAGCAGUUUUGCCUUCAAAAUGCACAUCACGAUCCUUUAUUAACAGGAGUUUCAUCAAGUACAAAUCCAUUCAGACCACAGAAAGUCUGUUCUUUUCUCUGAUUUGAUCUAACAACUUUUCCUAGCUGAUUAUGUUGAAUAUGGAAAUGAAACAAGAUGGCUUGGAGCCUGUACAGAAACUUUGUAUUAAUGUGCCAACUUUGAGCUUGUAAGAUUGCUAUUGUUUCAACCCCCCCUUAAAAUCUACCUCUCUAACAAGCUAUAUGCUAGUUGCUAUACUUUGUAUCAUGAGGGAAUCAAUUUUGUACUCAAGCAAUAGAGUUGACAUGAUUUUGAAUGUUAGCGUAAGUAUUUGAACUUGUCCUAAUACUUUGAACUGUGUAUCCAAAGCGUCACUAUUCUAAAAAUACUGUAAAAGUUAGUGCAUUUUGUAAAAAUAUUCCUGCUUUUCAAAACAAAAUAACAUCUUUAUCUAAACAAAUUAACGGUUUACAAUCAGUAUAGAUUUUGUUCUUUCUACUUCAGUUGUUAUAUAGUCAUAACUAAUUUGGAGUAAAUUGUAUUUGCCUCUAGAAGCAUCCUAAAUUGUGAAUAUCCUAUAAAACUAAAAAUAAAUAAAUGCCUUGUUAUACAUUAUUUACCAAUCUAAUACAAUUUUGUUUCUUCUCUGUUUUACAUCAAUCUGGAGUAGCAUAAAUUAGUCAAAAAGGAAACCAAAAUAUUAAAAUCGAUUACUAAAUACAUAACAUAGAACAAGAAUAUUGUGUAGAUUUCUAAAAUAGUUUUGGAACAAACUGAAUAAUCUUAAAUAACUGGCUGCAUAUAGUUUUUCUUAUUUAUAUUUGCAUAAUUAUCAUGCCUGACAGGUCAAAGCAAGAUCUGAGUUAACCAAGCUGACUAUCAGUUUAGGUCAGUGCAGAGGUGAUGCUUAGUUGAGUAUCACAUUCAUUUGAAACAAUUAUUCCCUAGAGACCAUUGAUUUAAUUUUUGACUUAUCUAAACAGAGUGACUUCUAAGGUGUAAGUUCAGUUUUAUAUCUUCUUUUUCUUCUUCUGCCAUAUCCAUCAACAGAUGUUGUCUGUCAUGUUGUUGAUCCUAUUUUUAUCAACAGAUACACAAAAAAGUUGCUGUUUUGUUCCAACCAGUCCCUUAGAUUUUGAAGGCAUGACUAUCUUCUGCCUGGACCUUGUUUGCCUUCAAUCUUUCCUUGGAGGAUUAAGUGACACAUGCCGUAUAUUUCUGGGUGUUAAAUCACAUAUCCAAAAUAUUCUUUCGUUUUAUAGUUUUGAUGAUUUUCCUUGGCUUUCCCAAGCAGCUUAACACCUCAUUUCUGAUUUUGUCAAGCCAACUUAUAUGUAAUAGCCACCUGUAAAUCAACAUUUCAAAUGCUUCUAGUCUCUUCAAGUGGCUUUCUGUCAGAGACCAACUCUUCACUCUAUAGAGGAUAGAAACAAUUAGCAUCUAACAAGCCUGAUUUUCAAUCUUAGGCUUAUAUUGUGACUGCAGAAGACUUUUCAUUUUAAGAAUGCUGUUCAAGCUUUACCCUUGUUUUUACUUCAGUGGUCAUGUUCCAGCUUUCAUGUAAAUUAGAACUCAAGUACAUGAUUCAACUUUUUCUAGUGUAUUCCUUCCAAAAUUAUUGGUGGUAAAUUAAUGGGUUGUUUGCCAAUGACCAUGAUCUUGGUUUUUGAGAUGUUCAAGCCGUAUUUUUCAGAUAUUUCUUUGACAAGGAUUUGUUGAUGAGGAACUGAAGUUUUAUAUCUAAAAUCAUUUUUUUUCUUUGUAUAUCUGGGGACAAUUAGUGAAAAAUGGAAAGUACAGUUUACCAUUGUGUCCAAACUGGGAACUGCUUUGUAGUACCUACAUGUAUGUAAACAAAUAUUAAAGCAUUUAAGGUUAAUCUGUAGAUUACAAUUGCAUAUGAACUGAGUAAUAUUGGUCAGAUUAAAAAGAACUUUGUUUUUCUUUCGCUUCCUGUGAUUAUAGACAGAAUUUCCAUUAUCUCAAGUUUCAUUAAGAUGGACACAGAAAAUGGGGUGUUCCCUAAUUUCUUCUCCCUUUAAAAAAAGAAGAUUCAUUUCCCAUUUAUUCCUUGUAUAGGUACUUGAAGAAUAUUUCAGUUCCUUAUGCAAUUUUUAAAAAAAUUAAGCUUACGGAAGAUCAAAUAAACAAAAUCUGUAUAGCCACUAUAUCUGAAUUGUACUGUUAUUUUUCUGCGUUAAUGAACUGCUUGAACAUUCAACAAUAGCCGGUAAUAGUAUUUGACAUGUAAAAUGUUUAUUUGUGGCAAAUAAUAUAUUCAACACAAAACCUGAUUUUAAGAUCCAGAACUAGAUAUUUUAAUUCAGAAUAAGAUAUGAAAGAAUUAAAUUACAAAGCAUUAUUUUUGAGAAGGGUCCAUGACUUCUUAACAAAAGGAGAUAGUGACUGAUGCAGUCUCUUUCCUCUUUCUUGAAGUCUUCUAUUAUUUAUAAAAAGUAACUGAAUUUUCAGCCCUGAAGAGAAUAGGGUCAUGGCCAUGUUCGCAAGGUCUGUGUGUGUGUGUGUGUAUGUUCCAUGUGUAACCUGAAUAUCUUCAAGGGUACUCCAUAAGCUUUUGUUGGUGAGAAAAAUACAAAAAUGGUAUUACUGUGUUCAUUCUUAUAAAUGAAAUUUUCUUCGGCUUGUGUCCAUUUCACGGCGCUGAAAAACAGUAAUGUUCAUUAUAGUUUGCUACAAAAAUACAAAUAUUUGUAAAUUCCUGUAAUACAAUUCAGGUUAUGGAGCAAUAAGAUAAUACCAAAUUACAAGAUUUUUAAGGCAUGCCUGGAAUGAAAGUAAUUAGGUUAAAUAUCACAGCAAACUUAAGCCAGCCUAGGUUUAGUCUGGACCUUUUGAGUUUAGAAUUCUUACUUGCCAAGCAAGAAUGUUUGUUAAUAAAGAUUUAUUGGACAUAAUCUUAAGCACACAGGGAGUCGGCACUUUUAUACACCCCUUUAUCUAGGCACAUUCCUGUUUUCUGACAACCUUAAAGCAUUGAACUCAAAUAGAAACCUUAGUAUGUCAUAUAAGUGCAAAAUCUUCAUUUAUCUCCCCCCACACCAGCUUAUGAAUUUACACAGAAUUCCUAUAUAUUUGAUAUGCUUUCAAUAACCUGUUUUUGAAACCUUGUUUUUCCAAAUACUUGUAAAUAAAUAAUCCUAAAAUGCAUUGAUGUGGGGAUACAAUACUCCCUUGAAAACAGUAUUGUUGUAAAUAGGCAAGAUGCUCUGGCUGUAUUAAAGGUCAUAUAAACAUUCACAGCACUCUGACCUCUGUUCUUUUUCAAUUAUAUUUUGAAUAUAAUUGACAGCUUUUGACAGCUAAUUGUAUUGUGCACAAAAGUACUUUUGAAGGCUAGUGUCUAAUAUGGGCUGGGUAUGUGCCAAAAAUAACUUAUACUAGUAACAAAAUUAUUCUUUAGAAUGCAAUUAUUAUAAUUCAAGCUUAACAUUUUUGAGUGACUUUAUUAAUGAAAUCCUUAUGGAAAUGUUGAUGGAUCAAGUAUUUUAAAAUAUCUCACUUAUAAUCAUAGGUAGUGAAAACAUGAAAAUAAUUCUACUGGAUCAGACUGAAGACCAGUUAGUCAAUAUUCCAUUUCACUGAAUGCCCACCAAAUACAAUUAUAGGUAAUACUUGAUUUACAGCCAUUUUGUUUAGUGACUGAAGUUACGAAGGCACUGCAAAAAGUCACUUACGACUGUUUCUCAUGUUAACUGUUGCAGUAUUCCUAUAGUCACAGAAUCAAAAUUUGGUCACUUAGUGACCAAAGUGUUUAUGGCAGUUGCAGUGUAGUGGUAUCCAGUGAUUGCUAUUUUUGGCCUUCCCAGUCAGCUUCCAGCAAGCAGAGUCAAGGGGGGAAGCUGGAUUCACUUAACGACUGUGAUGUUAAUAAGCAUAGUAAAAAAAGAUUGUAAAACUGGAUGCAACUUUUUAAACUGCUUGUUGCUGUGUUCUAGUCUAGGCUGACAAUAUGUCAACUUGCAAAUAAGAAAUCAAGCAACCCUCAACUGCCACUCACAUGCACCUAAUGUAUAUAGGCAGACUGCCCGCAUGUCUGCAAGCAGCAUCCACUAUUGGUCACACAUGUAACACUGCAAAUU